CCUCAACCUACUCUGCUGGGAUAAUAACCAACACGGAACCGCAGUCCAGGCAUUGAGACGGGGAAUCAAAAAGAUUCUAGCUACUUGUAACAUCAGAGCCUACAGUUCAGUUGCUCUUCCAGUUCUUGGAACUGGCGCUCUCCUGCGUUUUCCACACAACAUUACUUCCACGAUUCUCCUGGAGGAGGUUGGUAUAUAUGGACAAAACCGCACCAGUGGAUCACCCUUCCUAGUUCGAUUCAUUGUUCAUCCAAAGGACAAACAAUCCAGCCAGGCCUUUAAGUCUUCCCAGAGUGUAUUGCAUCAAAGAGGAUUCAUAAGCAAUGUUGAUCCAGAUCAAGGUU